AGCAAAAAUUGUUGCUGUGACUCUUGCUACACAUUAGCUGGGAGAAAAAUAAAAGAGUGAGUGAACCUUGAAAAAAGGAAACAGGAGACAGUGGACAUGAGCAUAGCUAAAAGUGUUGGAAUGGCGGCUGUAAGCUUUCUGGCUGCAAGUGCUGUAGAAAUGGCAUUCAACGCAUUAAAAAACAGAAAGAAGGAGCAGACCAGAAAAGCUGUGGAAUGUAAGAUAGAUGAAGCCUUCCAGAAGCUUGAGGAAAAAAUAAAGGCCUUGCAGGAAUCUUUCACAAAAUUGCAGGAGUCCAGACAGUGUGAGCUGCAUGACCUCAGAGCAAACCUGGAGAAACAAGGAAAAGAGGAGAACUUUGUAAGGGUCCUGUUAUCCUGUAUGGAGAACCAUAUCCACUUACUCUCCCAAAACAUUCAAGCUCUGCAAAAUGAUGUGCAGGAAUGGCCAGAGACC